rnacentral:tRNA from 1 species
GUAAAUAUAGUUUAAAAAAAAACAUUAGACUGUGAAUCUAAAAACAGGAAGUAAAUACCCUUAUUUACC